rnacentral:rRNA from 1 species
GACGAACGCUGGCGGCGUGCUUAACACAUGCAAGUCGAACGGAAAGGCCUGCUUUCCCUUGUGGAUUGCGGGUACUCGAGUGGCGAACGGGUGAGUAACACGUGAGUGAUCUGCCCCCAACUUGGGUAUAAGCCUGGGAAACUGGGUCUAAUUCCCGAUAGGACUGCAGGGUGGUGCCUGUGGUGGAAAACGAUUUUCUAGUGGUUGGGGAUGAGCUCGCGGGCUAUCAGCUUGUUGGUGGGGUAAUGGCUUACCAAGGCGGGGACGGGAAGCCGGCCCGGGGGAGUCGGCGGGCGCGGUGGGACUGCGACACUGCCAAGGCGACAACGGGAAGAAGCCGUGGGGAGUAAGGAGCGAGGGACAGAGGCCUAAGGGCGCGAGGCCGAGUGAGCGAUGACGGCCUUCGGAUUGUAGACUCCUUUCGGCCGCGAGGAAGCCACCUGGUUGGAGGGGUGGUGACGGUAGUGGUAGAAGAAGCACCGGCUAACUACGUG